rnacentral:RNase_P_RNA from 1 species
GCCGCUCCCCGGACGAUCGCGGUGUCUCCUCGGAGGCAUCGAGGAAAGUCCGGACGCCACAGGGCAGCGCGCCUCGUGAAGAACGAGGGACGACCGAUGCAAGUCGGCCGGACGGAAAGUGCAGCAGAAAACAAACCGCCUGCUUCGGUAGGUAAGGGUGAAAAGGUGGGGUAAGAGCCCACCGCUCCAAGGGUAACCGAGGAGGCACGGUAAACCCCGCGCGGCGCAAGACAUAACAGGGGAAGGGUGCCCGCCCGAUCAGAAUCCCCGGGUAUUAGUCGCACCAUUCCGCAAGGAAGGUUCCUCGUUUCGGCGAGGAAAGAUAAAUGAUCGUACAGCUCCGCGAAAGCGGGGUGGACAGAAUCCGGCUUACAGGGGAGCGGCAUAU